GACGAACCGUGCGAACGUUAUUCGGAAUCACUGGGCUUAAAGCGCGUGUAGGCGGGCCGGCACGUCGGUCGCUGAAAUCCCCCGGCUCAACCGGGGAAGGGGCGCCGAUACGGCCGGCCUGGAGGGACGUAGGGGGGGCUGGAACUUCCGGUGGAGCGGUGAAAUGCGUUGAGAUCGGAAGGAACGCCCGUGGCGAAAGCGAGCCCCUGGACGUCUACUGACGCUGAGACGCGAAAGCGUGGGGAGCAAACAGG
rnacentral:rRNA from 1 species